UACGUAGGUGGCGAGCGUUGUCCGGAUUUACUGGGCGUAAAGAGCGCGCAGGCGGCUGGUCAAGUCCGAUGUGAAAGCUCCCGGCUUAACUGGGAAAUUGCAUCGGAAACUGAUCGGCUGGAAGGUGGGAGAGGGUAGCGGAAUUCCCGGUGUAGUGGUGAAAUGCGUAGAUAUCGGGAGGAACACCAGUGGCGAAGGCGGUUCUCUGGGCCUUACCUGACGCUGAGGAGCGAAAGCGUGGGGAGCAAACAGG
rnacentral:rRNA from 1 species